GACGUAGGUGACGAACGUUAUCCGGAAUUAUUGGGCGUAAAGGGUGCGUAGAUGGUUUGAAAAGUUAGUGGUGGGAAAUCGAGGCUCAACCUCGUGGAAACUAUUGAUACUGUCAGACUAGAGAACAGGAGAGGUUAACGGAACUCCAUGUGGAGCGGUAAAAUGCACAGAUAUAUAGAAGAACAUCAAUAACGGCGAAGGCAGUUAACUAUUCUGUUACUGACACUGAGGCACGAAAGCGUGGGGAGCAAAACGG
rnacentral:rRNA from 1 species